rnacentral:rRNA from 1 species
UCGACGGAGUUGCUUUGAUGAAGUUUUCGGAUGGAUUUAAAACAGCUUAGUGGCGGACGGGUGAGUAACGCGUGGGUAACCUGCCUCACACCGGGGGAUAACAGUUAGAAAUAGCUGCUAAUACCGCAUAAGCGCACGGUUCCGCAUGGAACAGUGUGAAAAACUCCGGUGGUGUGAGAUGGACCCGCGUCUGAUUAGCCAGUUGGCGGGGUAACGGCCCACCAAAGCGACGAUCAGUAGCCGGCCUGAGAGGGUGAACGGCCACAUUGGGACUGAGACACGGCCCAAACUCCUACGGGAGGCAGCAGUGGGGAAUAUUGCACAAUGGGGGAAACCCUGAUGCAGCGACGCCGCGUGAGUGAAGAAGUAUUUCGGUAUGUAAAGCUCUAUCAGCAGGGAAGAAAGUGACGGUACCUGAAUAAGAAGCCCCGGCUAACUACGUGCCAGCAGCCGCGGUAAUACGUAGGGGGCAAGCGUUAUCCGGAUUUACUGGGUGUAAAGGGAGCGUAAACGGCAAGACAAGUCUGAAGUGAAAGCCCGGUGCUUAACGCCGGGACUGCUUUGGAAACUGUUUAGCUGGAGUGCCGGAGAGGUAAGCGGAAUUCCUAGUGUAGCGGUGAAAUGCGUAGAUAUUAGGAAGAACACCAGUGGCGAAGGCGGCUUACUGGACGGUAACUGACGUUGAGGCUCGAAAGCGUGNGGAGCAAACAGGAUUAGAUANCCUGGUAGUCC